rnacentral:lncRNA from 1 species
GCAACGCGUAAACAAAUGGCGGCGGCCCGGCCGGAGCGGGGACGGCGCCCGUAGCGGACAACACACAAAGUUUGCUCCGUCUCUUUCAUUAUCGCAGCUCAUGGCGGGCGGCCAGCAGAGCGGCACAGGAGGCAGCCCCGGGGAGCCGCUUCCCCGUGCUGACGAGCCGCAGCCCCUCGCUGAGGGGUUCCCCGAGGAGCAGCCCCGGCCGCCGCACCGCGAGGAUGAGCAGGAGGAGGACGGCGGGGAGGAAGAGCCGGAGCGCGCAGAGGCUCACUUGGAGGGGGUGUUGGAUGAAGACACCACUGCCGAGGGACUCCACACCUUCGGCCGCUCGGCCCUUGGCACUGAAUAUGUUUAUCUCCAUCUGUCACUCCCCGGUCGUGGGUUGAGGGACAUCAGCAUUCUCUCUGGCUACAUCCACCUGCAGAAAAUGGAGCUUUCCUCCAAUAAAAUUAAUGGUAUGGAGUAAAUAAACUACAAAUUCCUGCCUUGUGAAGCACUUUCAGAUGAGAAAUGCACUGGACCACGGAAUUUUAGUGUGCCAAAGGCUGGCUGACAUUUUAGUGGUGUCAAACCUCGCCCAAAAUGUUUGAU